rnacentral:rRNA from 1 species
AUACGGAGGGUGCGAGCGUUAAUCGGAAUUACUGGGCGUAAAGCGCGCGCAGGCGGUUAGAUCAGUCGGGUGUGAAAGCCCCGAGCUCAACUUGGGAACUGCAUUCGAUACUGUCUAGCUAGAGUAUGGUAAAGGGAAGCGGAAUUCCGGGUGUAGCGGUGAAAUGCGUAGAUAUCCGGAGGAACACCAGUGGCGAAGGCGGCUUCCUGGACCAAUACUGACGCUCAGGCGCGAAAGCGUGGGGAGCAAACAGGAUUAGAUACCCCAGUAGUCC